rnacentral:rRNA from 1 species
ACUCCUACGGGAGGCAGCAGUGGGGAAUAUUGCACAAUGGGGGAAACCCGUAGCAUGCAGCCAUGCCGCGUGUAUGAAGAAGGCCUUCGGGUUGUAAAGUACUUUCAGCAGUGAGGAAGGUGGUGUAGUUAAUAGCUGCAUUAUUUGACGUUAGCUGCAGAAGAAGCACCGGCUAACUCCGUGCCAGCAGCCGCGGUAAUACGGAGGGUGCGAGCGUUAAUCGGAAUUACUGGGCGUAAAGCGCAUGCAGGUGGUUUGUUAAGUCAGAUGUGAAAGCCCGGGGCUCAACCUCGGAAUAGCAUUUGAAACUGGCAGACUAGAGUACUGUAGAGGGGUGGAGAAUUUCAGGUGUAGCGGUGAAAUGCGUAGAGAUCUGAAGGAAUACCAGUGGCGAAAGGCGGGCCCCUCCGUGGAAAGCAAAGACUGACGCUCAGAUGCGAAAGCGUGGGGAGCAAACAGGAUUAGAUACCCUGGUAGACUGUC